GGAGAGAUGCCCGAGUGGCCGAAGGGGUACGAUUGGAAAUCGUAUGAAGGGUAACCUUCCGAGGGUUCGAAUCCCUCUCUCUCCG
rnacentral:tRNA from 1 species